CCUACGGGAGGCAGCAGUGAGGAAUAUUGGUCCAUGGGCGCGAGCCUGAACCAGCCAAGUCGCGUGAGGGAAGACGGUCCUAUGGAUUGUACACCUCUUUUGUCGGGGAGCAAAAGACGCCACGCGUGGCGUUCCGAGAGUACCCGAAGAAAAAGCAUCGGCUAACUCCGUGCCAGCAGCCGCGGUAAUACGGAGGAUGCGAGCGUUAUCCGGAUUUGUUGGGUUUAAAGGGUGCGCAGGCGGAAGAUCAAGUCAGCGGUAAAAUUGAGAGGCUCAACCUCUUCGAGCCGUUGAAACUGGUUUUCUUGAGUGAGUGAGAAGUAUGCGGAAUGCGUGGUGUAGCGGUGAAAUGCAUAGAUAUCACGCAGAACUCCGAUUGCGAAGGCAGCAUACCGGCGCUCAACUGACGCUCAUGCACGAAAGUGUGGGUAUCGAACAGGAUUAGAUACCCGGGUAGUC
rnacentral:rRNA from 1 species